AGCAUUUUCACUUGCACAUUCAAGUAAAAAUUUUUUAUAGACACUGAGAUCUUGUCUGAAGGGCAGAAAAAACAGGGAGAAGUGGAACAACUGUUUUUGAGCUUACAGACACUUCACAGCACCCCAAGGAGACCUGGGCAAGCAGAAGUUCCCUAGCAGGUGCAAGACAAGGGCAGUGAUGACUGAAGUCAGUCCAUAUUGUUCAGCUUGCAAUGCCCUCGGACUUCAGUGAGUGCCAUGUAUUUCUUCAGGAUGUUUUGCUCCAGAGCGGCUGCAGUGCACAGAAACCACUGUGUGGCAUCUGCACGGGGGAUGGCACUGACUUGUCCCAUGACACAUGCAGAAGAGAAGCACUGUCUGACUGGCACUGUCUACACUUGGCCCAGGAUUCUCACCCAGGGAAUAAACAAAAAGUGUCUUCAAGGCAGAGGGGAGAAGUCCCCAGCUGGCUUCCAGGCCUGGGCAGAUACCAUAUAGUGCUGUCAAGCCCCCUCACAAAGCAGUGUCCUCUUUUUCUUCCCAAAUCUCUGCCAUCCUUUAUCCUGUCCCAGAUGUCCUUUCACAACUGCCCAGUCCCACCUGAUUCAUGUUUGUAAUACUCUCAAUUAAAAAAUUAGUAAUUAAAAUGAAGCCCUCUUUUCCCAUAUUACUCCCAGCCAUUACACUGCUCCAUCUGCCCAUUCCCAGAUCCCUUCUUGUUUUUAAAAGACUCAUUAGCAUGUGAUCUUGUCUCUGCCAGGAUUCCCCAGUGCCAUCUGCUCCCUUCCUAGAUGAUCAGUCUCGCUCAGAUCACUGUUUACCGCACUUAAAAAUAUGACACAUUUUCUAAGCACCGGUCUUGGAGGAUGCUGUUGUGUUUCUCUACCAAAGUCAGUGGCUAUCAGUCUCUUGCCACAUUGACCCUCGUCCUUAGAUGCCCUGAUGCAUUCCCAGAACUCUGGGGGUUUUGUGGUGGCAGCAGAUCUGUGUCCCUCAGGCUAUACAGCCACAUGCUGUGCUAUAAUUUGUUUAAGACAUUUAGCACCUCCCCAAAUUCAGCAUCCUCUUUGUGGGAACAAUUUGUGUCCAUCUUAAUUCCUGCAGCAUAAAAUUACUAAGUUCAUGUUGUAUUGCUUUGAAGAGUUUUUAAAAAGAGAUUUUUCAUGCAUAUCACCUAUUGGUCCUCAUGGUUAUUUUUAUGGACGUUAUAAAUAGAAGAAGUAAGCAGUGUAAUGCUGAAAAAUUCUUUUGGGAAAACAGCAAUAGUGUUUACCUCCAUCAUCUGAGAAAUGUAUUGUAGGAAGAACUAGCAUCUUUGAUUUAUUGUAGGAUGAACUAGCAUCAUAUUGUAGGAUGUUCUAACAUCUUUCCAGACGUUUGAGCCCAGGACAAACGGGUGACUGUCAAUACUUCACUAUAGGCCUAUUCCAUUGAGUGAAAUGGGAUCUGCCAAAGUUGUUCAUGCCUGCCUACCUUCCCAGAAAUGAUCUGGGUCCUUUCUUCAGUAACUCAGACUUCCAAAAAAUGCCUGGACAUUCACUGAGAUCCAAGAGUUUCAUGUUCAGACAUCUUAAUAGCACAGCAGUGUGUGAAUGUCCUCCCAUAGAGCCCACCAAAAGCUCCACAUUUUACAUGGGACUGCACUAAUCCUACUUUAGACCAGAAAAAAUCAAGGAGCAUUGUAAGCCUCCUUCUUUAGGUUUAUACCCCUAACACAAGGAUGUAACUUCCAGUGCUAAUUUUCAUGGAGUUGACCCCUUUUAAGAUCCUAUUCUGCAAUACUGGGAGAAAAACUUGCUCCAAAUCAUGUGAAAUAGGCAGCUAAAUUUGAGAUCAAGGAGUACAAACAUGUACAAAAACUUAGAAAACUGUAAACAACUAAGUUUUUGGAUAGAUAACUGAUGGUUAUGAAAUCUGUCACUGCAAACAUGGUGGGUUGUUAAACCUGAAAAUAUGCUUAUUCACUGUAGUGGAGAUUGCCCUUGAUGGAAUCUGAGAGUGAGGCAGGGACAACUUGUUCCCUAUGAU